rnacentral:rRNA from 1 species
AGAGUUUGAUCAUGGCUCAGAUUGAACGCUGGCGGAAUGCUUUACACAUGCAAGUCGAACGGCAGCACGGGAGCUUGCUCCUGGUGGCGAGUGGCGAACGGGUGAGUAAUGCGUCGGAACGUACCGAGUAAUGGGGGAUAACGCAGCGAAAGCUGUGCUAAUACCGCAUACGAUCUAUGGAUGAAAGCGGGGGACCGUAAGGCCUCGCGCGAUUGGAGCGGCCGAUGUCAGAUUAGCUAGUUGGUGGGGUAAAGGCCCACCAAGGCGACGAUCUGUAGCUGGUCUGAGAGGACGACCAGCCACACUGGGACUGAGACACGGCCCAGACUCCUACGGGAGGCAGCAGUGGGGAAUUUUGGACAAUGGGCGCAAGCCUGAUCCAGCAAUGCCGCGUGCAGGAAGAAGGCCUUCGGGUUGUAAACUGCUUUUGUACGGAACGAAACGGUCUGGGUUAAUACCUCGGGCUAAUGACGGUACCGUAAGAAUAAGCACCGGCUAACUACGUGCCAGCAGCCGCGGUAAUACGUAGGGUGCAAGCGUUAAUCGGAAUUACUGGGCGUAAAGCGUGCGCAGGCGGUGAUGUAAGACAGUCGUGAAAUCCCCGGGCUCAACCUGGGAAUUGCGAUUGUGACUGCAUCGCUGGAGUGCGGCAGAGGGGGAUGGAAUUCCGCGUGUAGCAGUGAAAUGCGUAGAUAUGCGGAGGAACACCGAUGGCGAAGGCAAUCCCCUGGGCCUGCACUGACGCUCAUGCACGAAAGCGUGGGUAGCAAACAGGAUUAGAUACCCUGGUAGUCCACGCCCUAAACGAUGUCAACUGGUUGUUGGGGGGAGUGAAAUCCCUUAGUAACGAAGCUAACGCGUGAAGUUGACCGCCUGGGGAGUACGGUCGCAAGAUUAAAACUCAAA